CUGACUGAACUACCUUGGAGAGGUGAAUACUACACAUGGACUAACAAGCAAACUGGUGAAGACAGAGUAUGGAGCAGGCUUGACAGAGUGUUUGGCAAUUAUGAAUGGAGGAUCACCUGGCAUCAGGUGGUCACUGAGUAUGAUGUACCACUAAUUUCAGACCAUAACCCAAUGAUACUAACACUGAGCUUGACAGAUUGUUUCGCAAUUAUAAAUGGAGGAUCACCUGGCAUCAGGUGGUCACUGAGUAUGAUAUACCACUAAUUUCAGACCAUAACCCAAUGAUACUAACACUGCAACCAUCCACAUGGCAAGGGAAGA
rnacentral:lncRNA from 1 species